GUUUCUUUGUUGAGGCCCUCCAUUUCAAGCGAGAGUUGCCACUUUAGCACCGGACAUUUUUAUAAAGCCUCCAUCUUCUUCCCUUGUCUUCUGUUUCAUCGUUUCUUGCUGUCGGUGAUAUCUGCCAAGCUCACCCUUCUGUUCCAGUUUCUUCCUUCCUAUGUUGAGUUAACUCUUUUUCCUUCUCUCUCUUUCUUCUCUGAACUACUUAAUCGAGUUGAUUCAAAUCCUAACCUAAACUCUCUCUCUCUCUCUCUGUGUGUGGCAUGAGAAGAAGAAAUGGAUGAACGUGCACACAAGCAAGCGAAAAAAUCAACUACUUCAAGCACCGACUCAGAAGAAGUGAGCAGCAUCGAAUGGGACUUCAUCACGAUGACCGAGCAAGAAGAAGAUCUCAUUCACAGAAUGUACAGACUAGUUGGAGACAGGUGGGAUUUGAUAGCGGAUCGGAUCCCAGGUCGCAAAGCGGAAGAGAUAGAGAGGUUUUGGAUCAUGAGGAAUGGAGAGGCGUAUGCAGAGAAGAGGAAUGAGUUCAACUCCAAGACUGGAUGAUGAUGUUGCUUCUGGAGCUCCUUUUUCUCGGGGGUGUUUCACGACAACAGGAUGGAGCUUCUCUCUAGGUUCAAAACCAUUCUUGCCAUGCAUGUAAGGGACAUUCUUUGCUAAUGUAGUUUGAAAGUCGACAAGUUUGAAGAAGCUCUUUUGUCUCCUUCAGAUGUUCUAUCAUCCCAUGUUCCCCAUUUUGUCCCAGUUGUCACCAUGUCUGUAUUGCUAGUAGAGUCUGCAACACAACAGGAGCAGCGAUAAAACAAGUUCUUAGAUAGACCUUCAAUGGGAAACUAUCAACAACAACAACCAAAAAUGUCCUAGGCAUUUUGAACUUUGAAGUUGUCAGUAAUUGCAUGGCAGAACAGUAAAUUAUUCUGGAGCAACUUUUUUUUCAGGCCCAGCUAGAGAAAUUUAGGAA